CUGGCUCGUGUCCGUAUCUUAGGUAUCUGCUCAAACAUCAAACAAAAACAAGUCACAACCCGUGUAGAUGAGCAGUGAACUGGCAAGUUUGGGUUUGACAACACGGGUGAUAGAAUUUUGAUUGUGUGUUUUUUUUUUCUUUUGAACAAGUUUGUCCUUUAUUAUUCUUUUGCUACAGCGUUGAUAAAUAUUGCUACCCGAACCCAGACACACACAAGGUAAUAAUUUCACUACCAGUCAUGACUGCCGUCUGUGAUUGCCAACCGUGCUGAUUUUAUAGUCAUAGUUACUGUUCCGCAUGUUUGUAUUUAGUUCUGACUUCUUACUGCAACCGCACUUGGAUUGGAAUUUAUAAUUUCCUGCAUCAUUUUUACGCUCUUAGCUAUGGGUAGUAAAACAUCAGAAUCGGAUGUAUCCAGUAACGAGGAUGGCAAAAAGUCCUGGAGCCGGAAGACUUUAACCAAAACAAAGCAAUCUAUGCAGAAGUAUCGGCAUCAGUGGGAAAGAUAACCGAUUGUGGCUUUACCCAGCUAUUUCAAGUCACUUUAAGUCAUGGACCAUUUGAGUGAUAUCUUGAAGAUAUGUUUUACGGAUUCAAAAAUAGCACAGUUACUAAAACUCGAGAGGGUCAAAGCUGCAGUCACUGAAAAUGUGAUCGGCAAAACACAAAAGGAAGAACUAAUUGAAAAACUCAAGCAUACUUUUCUUCAAUUACGAGUACCUCAAUGAAAGAUUCAGAUGCAUAAUCUGUUCAUGAAAUUACAUUGUCUGUUUCUUCAGUGGGCAUUGCCGCUAUUCGCAAAUCUGAAUAAAUAUUUUCAAUCGGAAUGAGUUGUUACGAAAAUGCAUGUGAGCAUGGUAUUGGCAUAAAAAGAUUUGCUAGGCUGUUACAUGAAGAGAAGUUAUCUAGCCAAAAUGCCAUUGCAGGAUGUUAACCCAGCUGCCACCGAAGAAUCCAUCCCGAUCGCAAGUCUCUACAUGGAUGUCGGCGUAAUGAAACAAAUGGGAGUCGAAGAAAUUCGAUGUUAUCCUGAUCUCAUCAACAACAAUCGAAACGAGAUGCAUAAAUUUUCUUAGCACCAGAUGCAUCCAAAUAAAAAAAACAUAUGACUUUAAUGAUCCCGUAUUUACUUCAAUUACUGUUCUCACUCCUGAAACAGCUUUGUCGUUGACAGAAAGGCAUGUAAUUCCUUUAACGACGAAGAUGUCGAGAGUCUGCCCUGUCGGAGAUGCACAGCUCCAGAGGCUGGAUGACGAGUGGUGACAGAUGCCUCUCAUAAAAUUUCGAGACAACAUAGCGGUAAAGACCGAAGCUGAUAUCUUUUGGGACAAAGUUAGCAAGUACAAAGAUUAAAUGGGCGAGCCAUAUCUCAAGGGUCUUCCAUCACUUUUGCUUGAGGCGGUAUCCAUCUCGUAUUCAAAUGCUCAAUGCAAACGAAUCUUUAGCAAGGUCAAUCUGAUCAAAACAAAGACAUGUAAUCGUUUGGUUACGACAACGACAACUGGGAUUUUGUUAAGUAGCGAGUACGUGAGGGUUCGGCUGCAGGAGCACUGCCGUAAGAAUUUCAUACCAACAAAAGCAACGGAGAGUCGAAUGACAGCAAAUCUAUACUUACACAACUCUCGCAAAACUAGAACAACUAGUGUAACCACUAAAGAUGAUAAUUAUUCUUUCAUUAUUAGCGGUGUUAAUGAACCUAGUUUUUAAACCAAAUAUUAAGAAAAAACUGGAUAUAAA